GAGUUUGAUCCUGGCUCAGGACGAACGCUGGCGGCGCGCCUAACACAUGCAAGUCGAACGAGCGAGAGAGAGCUUGCUUUCUCAAGCGAGUGGCGAACGGGUGAGUAACGCGUGAGGAACCUGCCUCAAAGAGGGGGACAACAGUUGGAAACGACUGCUAAUACCGCAUAAGCCCACGACCCGGCAUCGGGUUGAGGGAAAAGGAGCAAUCCGCUUUGAGAUGGCCUCGCGUCCGAUUAGCUGGUUGGUGAGGUAACGGCCCACCAAGGCGACGAUCGGUAGCCGGACUGAGAGGUUGGACGGCCACAUUGGGACUGAGACACGGCCCAGACUCCUACGGGAGGCAGCAGUGGGGAAUAUUGCACAAUGGGGGAAACCCUGAUGCAGCGACGCCGCGUGGAGGAAGAAGGUCUUCGGAUUGUAAACUCCUGUUGUUGAGGAAGAUAAUGACGGUACUCAACAAGGAAGUGACGGCUAACUACGUGCCAGCAGCCGCGGUAAAACGUAGGUCACAAGCGUUGUCCGGAAUUACUGGGUGUAAAGGGAGCGCAGGCGGGAAGACAAGUUGGAAGUGAAAUCCAUGGGCUCAACCCAUGAACUGCUUUCAAAACUGUUUUUCUUGAGUAGUGCAGAGGUAGGCGGAAUUCCCGGUGUAGCGGUGGAAUGCGUAGAUAUCGGGAGGAACACCAGUGGCGAAGGCGGCCUACUGGGCACCAACUGACGCUGAGGCUCGAAAGUGUGGGUAGCAAACAGGAUUAGAUACCCUGGUAGUCCACACCGUAAACGAUGAUUACUAGGUGUUGGAGGAUUGACCCCUUCAGUGCCGCAGUUAACACAAUAAGUAAUCCACCUGGGGAGUACGACCGCAAGGUUGAAACUCAAAGGAAUUGACG
rnacentral:rRNA from 1 species